GAGCUCUCUUCUGCGCUCUGGUGUUGGGGAUCGUCCGCCCCCCGCGGCGGCCGGCCCCGAAAUGGAAUGGCGGUCUCGCUGUGACCUCCUCCGUGUAGUAGUGAUACCUCGCGGCUGGAUAGCGACGGGACCACGCCGUAAAACAACCCACUGCUUUUAUGGUUGACCUCGAAUCAGGUAGGGAUACCCGCUGAACUUAA
rnacentral:misc_RNA from 1 species